UAGGGAAUCUUCCACAAUGGACGCAAGUCUGAUGGAGCAACGUCGCGUGAGUGAAGAAGGGUUUCGGCUCGUAAAGCUCUGUUGUUAAAGAAGAACGUGGGUAAGAGUAACUGUUUACCCAGUGACGGUAUUUAACCAGAAAGCCACGGCUAACUACGUGCC
rnacentral:rRNA from 1 species